GAUGAACGCUAGCUACAGGCUUAACACAUGCAAGUCGAGGGGAAACGACAUCGAAAGCUUGCUUUUGGUGGGCGUCGACCGGCGCACGGGUGAGUAACGCGUAUCCAACCUGCCCACCACUUGGGGAUAACCUUGCGAAAGUAAGACUAAUACCCAAUGAUAUCCCACGAAGGCAUCCGAAUGGGAUUAAAGAUUUAUCGGUGAUGGAUGGAUCCGCGUCUGAUUAGCCUGUUGGCGGGGUAACGGCCCACCAAGGCGACGAUCAGUAGGGGUUCUGAGAGGAAGGUCCCCCACACUGGUACUGAGACACGGACCAGACUCCUACGGGAGGCAGCAGUGAGGAAUAUUGGUCAAUGGGCGCAGGCCUGAACCAGCCAAGUCGCGUGAGGGAGGACGGUCCUACGGAUUGUAAACCUCUUUUGUCGGGGAGUAACGUGCGGGACGGGUCCCGUAUUGAGAGUACCCGAAGAAAAGCAUCGGCUAACUCCGUG
rnacentral:rRNA from 1 species